CCAUGGCAGGAGGUAGUGGACCAAGGCAGGAGGUAGUGGACCAAGGCAGGAGGUAGUGGACCAUGGCAGGAGGUAGUGGACCAUGGCAGGAGGUAGUGGACCAAGGCAGGAGGUAGUGGACCAUGGCAGGAGGUAGUGGACCAAGGCAGGAGGUAGUGGACCAAGGCAAGAG